AUUACGGCAGUGUCGUGAUAAUAGUAACGCGAUAGGAGCACCGAUUGUACGCCUGCAGCUUCUUAUUUGUGUUUAUUGUAAGCAGAUGUUAUUCCCUGGCCUGACUGACUGUGGUCUGCCUGUUACAAAAUCCAAGACCCAAUUGCAAAGAGUUGGUGGCACACCAAGUAUGGACAGCUUAUUAAUGAGCUUCAUUCGUGUCACUGUAUUAAAGGCCGAACUAUAAUCAAUAAACAACAAUCGAGCAUAACAGUACUUAUUGUCCAACUGAGUAAGAACUGUAUGGAAUGCUGUACUGACUGCAUCCUCUGUCGACCUUUUCAGUCUGCAUGCAAACUGCAGGGGAUCCAUUGUGUCAGGUAUAACUGACUAUGAUUCGUAAUGAUUCUGUCAAAUAAUUUCAUCACUAUGGGAGUCACAACCAGCCAGUAGUCAUUCAGGCAGCUGGCUUUGCCCUUCUUUGGCAGUGGAAUGGUAGUGGUUGCCUUAUAACAAGUGGGAAUUGUAGCGCAUGCAAGGGAGAGAUUGAAUAUAUCAGCCAGAACAUCAGCAAGCAUUGAAGCACAGGCAAUGAGUGUACUUCCAGCAAUAUUAUCUGAACCGGCUGCCUUCCUGGGAUUUAACCUCCUCAAGGGCAUUGCCACACUUGCUGGUGAUAUUGUGAAGGGUGCUGGUGCUUCCUUUCUGCCCCUCUGUCUUAUGGUGGUACUCUUUGACUUGGUAUUUUGGACCUCGAAUUGGACAUAAAAUUCAUUAAAAUUUUCUGGUGAAAUCUGGCUGUCAGUCGUCAUCCCUCUGCCUUUGUCUCUCUAGCCUAUGAUGUUUUCCAGGAUUUGCCAUAUAUGCCUUGUAUCAGCAAUCGAAUAAUAGCCUUACAGCUUACAAAUGUAAUUCUCCUUUGCUGCUUUGAUAGUUCUGCGUAAGUCACAUCUAGAUUUUUCAUACUCGCUGAUAUGUCAGGAUGUGAAGGGUGUACGAGAAAUGACAGUCAAGUUAAUUCACAGAAUAAAGGGGUUACAGUUACAGAUCUGGAAACUGAAUUUUUGUGCUGUUUUGUUUAGCAGACAUUAAUACCUUUGAAUUAUGGUAGUAAAGUAUUGCAGUGCAUAAAUAAUAUCUUAAUAAAGACCGAGACAGAAAAGCAUUCACA